CUUGAAAAUUUCUUAAAUAGUGAAACCACUGUCUUUCAAGGAUUUUUAGUUCUUUUUAUACUUCAUUACUCUUUAUGGACCAUGUAACCUUUAAUUCCCUGUGACAAUGCUUUGCUGAACAAUGUUCUUUUUCCUGAGCAGUUAUGAUUAAAAACCAGACCAGCACAUGUAGAUGUGUUUUGUUUCAAUGUUUAUUUUUUAAUGGAUAAAUCACCUAUUUGAAUUUACAUUAUAUAUUCUUUUUCAAAUAAAAUAUAUAAAUCUAUGAUGU
rnacentral:misc_RNA from 1 species